GCGGGUCGUGAGUGCGCGCGAGCGCAGCAGUGGGAGGUGGCGACCAGCCGGUAGAAGCCUCAGCACGAUGUGGCACGAGGCGCGGAAGCAUGAGCGGAAGCUUCGAGGCAUGAUGGUGGACUACAAGAAGAGGGCAGAGCGGCGUCGGGAGUACUAUGAGAAGAUUAAGAAAGACCCCGCCCAGUUCCUGCAGGUGCAUGGCCGAGCCUGCAAGGUUCACCUGGAUUCUGCAGUUGCCCUGGCUGCUGAGAGCCCUGUGAACAUGAUGCCCUGGCAGGGAGACACCAACAACAUGAUUGACCGCUUUGAUGUUCGUGCGCAUCUAGACCACAUCCCUGACUACACCCCCCCACUGCUCACCACCAUCUCCCCGGAACAGGAGUCAGAUGAGCGGAAGUGUAACUACGAGCGGUACCGAGGCCUGGUGCAGAACGACUUCGCCGGCAUCUCUGAGGAACAGUGCUUGUAUCAGAUCUACAUUGAUGAGCUGUACGGAGGCCUGCAGAGACCCAGCGAGGAUGAGAAGAAGAAGCUGGCAGAGAAGAAGGCUUCCAUUGGCUAUACCUAUGAAGAUAGUACUGUGGCCGAGGUAGAGAAGGUGGCUGAGAAGCCAGAGGAGGAAGAGUCACCAGCAGAGGAGGAGAGCAACUCGGAUGAAGAUGAGGUCAUCCCCGACAUCGACGUGGAGGUGGACGUGGAUGAGCUGAACCAGGAGCAGGUGGCUGAUCUCAAUAAGCAGGCCACAACCUAUGGCAUGGCUGACGGGGACUUUGUCAGGAUGCUACGGAAAGACAAGGAAGAGGCAGAGGCUAUCAAACAUGCCAAGGCCCUGGAGGAGGAGAAAGCCAUGUACUCGGGCCGUCGUUCCCGGAGACAGCGAAGAGAGUUCCGGGAGAAGCGCCUGAGGGGCCGCAAGAUCAGCCCUCCCAGUUAUGCUCGCCGAGACAGCCCCACCUAUGACCCCUAUAAGCGGUCACCUUCGGAAUCCAGUUCCGAGUCCCGCUCCCGCUCUCGCUCCCCGAGCCCUGGCCGCGAGGAAAAAAUCACUUUCAUCACCAGUUUUGGAGGCAGCGACGAAGAGGCAGCUGCUGCAGCUGCUGCAGCCGCCGCAUCGGGGGCUGCCCCAGGGAAGCCCCCCGCGCCUCCCCAACCGGGUGGCCCCGCUCCAGGCCGUAAUGCCAGCGCCCGCAGCCGCCGCUCCUCUUCGUCCUCCGCCUCCAGGACCUCCAGCUCCAGAUCCAGUUCGCGCUCCAGCUCGCGCUCCCGCCGCGGCUAUUAUCGCUCUGGCCGCCACGCGCGCUCCCGCUCCCGUUCCUGGUCCCGCUCGCGCUCGCGCUCCCGCCGCUACUCGCGCUCCCGCAGUCGCGGACGGCGGCACUCAGACGGCGGUUCUCGCGACGGACACCGCUACUCACGGUCGCCCGCCCGGCGCAGCGGGUACGCGCCCCGCCGAAGGAGCAGGUCUGUGCUGGAGAAUGUUUGCGAUAGGGCAGGAGCGGGUACUGGGGAGGCGGGCUGGGGACAGAUCAGGCCCGCCCCUCUUCUCGUGGGAAGCACCAGUGGAAGCUGGACGGGGAGCCGCUCCCGUUCAGGUGACCGCUACAAGCGGGGUGCCCGGGGCCCCAGGCAUCAUAGCAGCAGUCAUAGCCGUAGCAGCUGGUCCCUCAGCCCUUCCCGGAGCCGAAGUCUGACCCGUAGUGGAAGCCGCAGCCGCAGCCAGAGCCGGAGCAGAAGCCGCAGCCGGAGCCACAGCCAGAACCAGAGCCACUCGCCGUCGCCCCCAAGGGAGAAGCUGACCAGGCCGGCAGCGUCCCCUGCUGUGGGCGAGAAGCUGAAAAAGACCGAACCUGCCGCUGGUAAAGAGACAGGAGCUGCCAAAGUCAGUAAGAAUUUGGAACUCGCCCGUCUAAUUCCCGUCAGCAGCAGUGUCCAGAGUUGGGCCCGGUGGGCCUGCAGGGGGCCCAGGGGGAGGGAAGAGCCAGCCCAGGGACUGGGGAAGGGCUACCCAGGCAAACUAAGUCCCAUCCCCGCCUCCCACGGGGCUCCAGCUGGCCCCCAAGUCCCAGACUCUUGGCUGAGGUGGGCUGGGCGAGCUCUGGGCACCCACGCCUAUCCCGCCCCUUCUCCCGCAGCCCAAGCUGACCCCACAGGAGAGGCUGAAGCUGCGGAUGCAGAAGGCUCUGAACCGCCAGUUCAAGGCGGAUAAGAAGGCAGCUCAGGAGAAGAUGAUCCAGCAGGAGCAUGAGCGGCAGGAGCGAGAGGAUGAACUGCGAGCCAUGGCCCGAAAGAUCCGAAUGAAGGAGCGAGAGCGAAGAGAGAAGGAGAGAGAAGAGUGGGAACGCCAGUAUAGCCGCCAGAGCCGCUCACCCUCCCCGAGAUACAGUCGAGAGUACAGUUCUUCCCGCAGGCGCUCGAGGUCCAGGUCCCGAAGCCCCCAUUACAGACAUUAGGCAGAAGACUGAGUCGGGGGCUCUUAUGCUGCUGGGUUUCUGUAGUGAAAUAAAAGCUAACAUUAUUUAAUGGA